AGUGAAUAGAUACCCAGGUAGUCCACGCCCUAAACGAUGAACACUAGUCGUCGCUCUGCUAGUCAGGGCGGUGAUGCACUUAACAGGUUAAGUGUUCCGCCUGGGGAGUACGGUCGCAAGAUUAAAACUCAAAGGAAUAGACGGGGACCCGCACAAGUGGUGGAGCAUGUGGUUUAAUUCGAAGAUACGCGAAAAACCUUACCUGGCCUUGACAUUGAUAGAAUCUUUCAGAGAUGAGAGAGUGCCCUUCGGGGAGCUUGAAAACAGGUGCUGCACGGCUGUCGUCAGCUCGUGUCGUGAGAUGUUGGGUUAAGUCCCGCAACGAGCGCAACCCUCGUCCUUAGUUGCCAGCAGGUUAAGCUGGGCACUCUAGGGAGACUGCCUUCGCAAGGAGGAGGAAGGUGAGGACGACGUCAAGUCAUCAUGGCCCUUACGGCCAGGGCUACACACGUGCUACAAUGGGGCGUACAGAGAGUUGCGAUACCGCGAGGUGGAGCCAAUCUCUUAAAGCGUCUCUCAGUUCGGA
rnacentral:rRNA from 1 species